GUGCUCACUCCGGCUGCACAUUGACUACAACUGCAAUGAUACAGAGAAGAUUAGCAGGUCCCCUGAGCAAGGAUGGCACACAAAUUCAUGAAGCGCUCCGCAUUUUG